CAGAAAAUAAUAGUACUUACUUCACCACAGUGGAAAUCAGUCACUGGCGGAGAUGAAGACUUCUAUCUCAGCCCCAAACAAAUGAAGAUCUUACAGAUGCGACAGGCUUCCUGAAAUGGAGAUAGAAUUUGUCAAGAGUGCUCAACUCAACAUCAGAAUCAGGCUUAACAUCACUGGCAUAUGUUGUGAAGUUCCUUAAUCUUGCAGUAACUGUACGAUGCAAUACACAGGUUCUCUUGAAGACCCUGACCUGGCAUUAUACGCUGACUUUGGUUCUUUGCGGGAAUGGGACCCGCUCUCGGGAUCUCAUGAAUGGCCAAUGGUCAUUAUUCGAGAUACCAACGACGCGGCCUAGAAGAUUAGUUCGCCUUCGGAAUUCCACAAUUCUGUGGCUCUGGAGGUGGGUGGAUUCGAGGUUGGUGCCUCUGCAGGGAAUAGGUGUGUCAUGGGAGAUGGAGCUGGCUGCUGGCUGUGUGCCCAGAGACCUGAGUUCUUUGGGCACAGGGCUUGGAAAGAGAGACGCAAUGGACUUUUAAUAUUGUAAAUCAGUGAGUUGUUUGUUAUGUCUUUGAAACGGAGAAACCUCUUUUUCCCUUAUUAUGGAGAGAGAGAGCCUGUGGUAUGUCGAAUUACGAAGUGAAUGAGUAGUCUUUGGGGUACUGCAAGUCUGUAUCUUUAUUGAUGCUUUGCUACAUGCUUGAGUGCUUGGUGGGGGGCACUAAUGUUUUAUGUGCUGGUGGGGGAGGAGGGAUCAUUGCUUGUUGCCGCUUAUGUGUGGGGGGGGGGGAAGCUGGGGAGGUGCUUUGAGUUUCUAACAUUUAACUGUCAUUCAUUCUUUAGGGCACUCCUCGGCUUUUGUGGAUGGUUGCGAAGAAAAAGCAUUUCAGGAUUUUUAUUGUAUACAUUUCUCUGACAUUAAAUGUACCUUUGAAACCUUUUAAACUUUGAAACUUUAAUAGUUCUAUAACAUUUUCCAGAGGGAGUUUUUGGAAACAGCAGUUUGCUGGGUGGGUUGUGUCCACAAUGAUUUUUCUUGACCAUUCUUUGUCCUGGAUACAUCCAAGACCUGCAGUGAUGGUGGACUGUGGCCAAUCGCUUUUCCUGUUGACCUGACAGUUCACAGUAGUUUUUAUAUAUGGUGAGAGAAUGUUGCACCAAACCAGACAAUAAUAGCUGAUGUAAGUAUGCUUUCUAUGAUGACAGUGCUGAGUUGUACUAGUAUGCUUGGGGGAAGUUGGAGUUUUACCAACUGCAUUCAGCUUCUUGUUAUGAUAUUGAUGUAGUCAUAAAGAAGGCAAGACAACAGCUAUACUUCAUUAAGAGUUUGAAACGAUUUGGCACGUCAACAAAAACACUCAAAAAUUUCUAUAGUUGUACCGUGGAGAGCAUUCUGACAGGCUGCAUCGCUGUCUGGUAUGGGGGAGGGAGGAGGGGGGCUACUGCACAGAACAGGAAGAAGCUGCAGACGGUUGUAAAUCUAAUCAGCUUCAUCUUGGGCACUAGCCUACAAAGUACCCAGGACAUCCUUAGGGAGUGGUGUCUCAGAAAGGCAGUGUCCAUUACUAAAGACCUCCAGGGCAUGCACUUUUCUCACUGUUACCAUCAGGCAGGAGAUACAGAAACCUUAAGGAACACACUCAGUGAUUCAGGAAUGUCUCUUUCCCCUCUGAUGUCUGAUUCCUAAAUGGACUUUGAAGCUUUGGGCACUAUCUCACUUUUUAAAAAUAUACAGUAUUUCUGUUUUUGCACAUUUUUAAUAAUCUAUUCAAUAUGCAUAAUUGAUUUACUUGAUUAUUUAUUAUUAUGUUUCAUUCUAUUUAUUACUUUUUUCUCUUUCUCUGCUAGAUUAUGUAUUGCAGCAGUGCUAAGUUAACAAAUUUCAUGUCAAAUGCCAGUGAUAAUAAACCUGAUUCUGAUUGCACGAGGUGACUAGCUUGUUUAUUUCCCAAUGGUACAUGGAUCCAUCUUCUCUGGCGAUUCAAUAACUCCAUUUAGGACUUUCAUUCUCUUCUCAAUCAGAUCUCUCCUCAGCCUCCAACACUCUAGAGAAAACAACCCAAGUUUCCUGCUCUUGAACUCAAUGCCUCAAUUAACUUGGUAUCUAUGGAGGAAGAAACAUAGUCCAUGUUUCAGUGGAAGACCUUGCAUUAGCCUCCAUGGCCUCAGCAACAAGGUCACUCCACAGCAAAUCCAUCCACGACUCCAAUCAGUCAGGAACUACCGUUGGAUACUAUUCCACUUGUGGUCACCAAGGACAUGGGAACUUUCUCAUGGGGCAAGUUCUCCUGCCAAGAAAUAUCCUUGAACUAAGCUCAUACUUUAGUUACUCUCUUUAAUUUAAAUAUUGAUUUAUGCUCAGGACCAUACACUAACCCCGAUCAAUCUAAACAUUCAAUAGCUAAAAUUACACCAUCAAAGAAUGUGAAAUUGAAGGAGAAAGCUCACAGAUUCCAAAAUAUUUAACUGAGCAGAAACCUUGAAAGCAGAUGAGCAAAUACUGUACACAUGUAUGAAAAAGCAAGAAUUGCAUGAAUUCACAAAUGAUGUUGAAACUGUUAGGGGUAAAGUUAAAAGAGACCACAAUUCUUAACUGAUUCCAUACCAAAGAUGUACAACCAGCCAAAGCAGCAAAUAUGUGCAAAAAAUGCAUGUCCAGAAAGACAAAAAUAUUUUUUUAAACAGUAGUCUUGUCAGACUACACAAGAUCAUUAUUACUAGUCCUGUUUACCAGAAAAUAUGAGACACUCCAAAACAAUGGAGAUAGUGUGAACAAGAGUCACAGUGUAAAGAAAAUUUAGUGAGACUGCAGAAAGUUGGGAGGAGAACACUGCAUUUUGUUUCUCUGGUGUUAAAAGGAAGCAAAAGUGCCACCUGCUUAUUGUACAAAUAGAAAUGAAUAUGUAAAAUUGAGAGGAAUUGACAAACAAUUCUUUUGCAAUUUCC